UGGUGGAGUGAUUUGUCUGGUUAAUUCCGUUAACGAACGAGACCUUAACCUGCUAAAUAGUUAUCUGAAACUUACGUUUCCGACUAACUUCUUAGAGGGACUUUGCGUGUUUAACGCAAGGAAGUUUGAGGCAAUAACA
rnacentral:rRNA from 1 species